GAUGAACGCUGGCGGCGUGCCUAAUACAUGCAAGUCGAGCGAACAGACGAGGAGCUUGCUCCUCUGACGUUAGCGGCGGACGGGUGAGUAACACGUGGAUAACCUACCUAUAAGACUGGGAUAACGUCGGGAAACCGGAGCUAAUACCGGAUAAUAUAUUGAACCGCAUGGUGCAAUAGUGAAAGACGGGUUUGCUGUCACUUAUAGAUGGAUCCGCGCCGCAUUAGCUAGUUGGUAAGGUAACGGCUUACCAAGGCAACGAUGCGUAGCCGACCUGAGAGGGUGAUCGGCCACCCUGGAACUGAGACACGGUCCAGACUCCUACGGGAGGCAGCAGUAGGGAAUCUUCCGCAAUGGGCGAAAGCCUGACGGAGCAGCGCCGCGUGAGUGAUGAAGGUCUUCGGAUCGUAAAACUCUGUUAUUAGGGAAGAACAAAUGUGUAAGUAACUAUGCACGUCUUGACGGUACCUAAUCAGAAAGCCACGGCUAACUACGUG
rnacentral:rRNA from 1 species